UGAGAUGAUACUAAAUUAGAAAAAGACUCGGGAUGGGAUUCCAACUCACCCUUGCUCCUUCUGAGAGAAACUAGAUACCAUAUCUGGCUGCCUCAUGGAGAGACUCACCAGGUCAAGACUGGAGGGAGGUCUUCAGCCACCAUCCAAAAAAGAAGACCGUCUGUCCAACAGCCCACAAGAAGCUUGAUUUCUCCAAGAGCCACCUGAAUGAACUUGAAAUCAGUUCCUCUUCUAAAUGAGCCUCCAGGUGAAAUCACAGCACCAGACAAAAGCUUUACCUGCAACUUCAUGGGAGACCUUGAGCCAGUGAUAGCCAACCAAGAUGCAUUCACAUUCCUGACCCAGAGAAAUGGUGAGAAAACGGUUGUCAAAGAAAGCAUUUCAGUAUGGGAGUAAUUUGCUACACAGUAAAAGAUAGCUAAUAUGCAUCUCUAAAAAGUUUGAUACAGUCUAUUUCAUUAGAUAAUGUUUAGAAAUGAAAAUAAUCAAGGAAAUAGCAUUAUUUGCUGAUUAUUUAGAAAUAUGUAGGGAAAGAGUUGGAAGUGGAUGACUCUAUAUCUCAGGACAAGGGAGUAGAAAGGAGUGAAACAAAAUCUGCUGCCUUUUCAUAAAACUGAGUUGCAAAGGUCUUGCCUAGGACUUCUAAAAACCUCUUCCUGAAAAUCCCUUCUCUCAGGCUUUUGAAGAGCCAUGGCUUCAUUUUAAGAUCUCAAAAUUGCAUUGCAUUAUGUAGUAUUAGCAGCAUUUCCAAAUGCAUUACCUCUGAAAUUCUCUCAUUUCCUUCAAUAGAAGGUAAAAAGAGCACAGAAUUUGACAUUGUCCCAAAAGCAGAAGAAAAAGAUUUGCCAAGGAAAAGAUUCCACAACUCUUUGAUAAGAAAUUGAUUUACAUGGAGUCAAAUACUAAAUAUUAAAACUAUUUGAGUGG
rnacentral:lncRNA from 1 species